AAAUGCUUGUCUCUGUCAGUGAAAAACGUUAUUUUAUCUGAAACAUCUACACAGUGACCAACCUAGGGGACUACCUGGGCUAAAUACAAGUUUAUGUAAAUAUAAUUACUCGCUUUGUGGUCGGUAACUUCGCCAGAAUUUCCUCAGAGAAAGAGGUAGAAGUUGCACUGUAUUCUGAGUUCACGAUCGUGAAAGUUAACCCCAAAUGCAAUAAAAUGAUAAUAAUCUAAUUCAAAAGAUGUUUUCAUGGCCUAAGUUAACCCCUGUUGUGAUUAAUAACUAGCGACUGUCUUAUCUUUAGAGGUUAUAAAUACGGUUGAUGCAACCACAUACUGUGCACUGGAAAUUACAACCGAUGUUUAUAACUUUAGGUGUUGGUAUUACAAUUAGUUGGUAACUUGUAAUUAAUUAAUAACUCUGCCUAGUUAGUGCUAAAAUAAUCAUAAAACCGUUUGUCUACAGUUAUCUAUUCUGUACAACCCACUAUAUGACGGUAGUAAUUGGGUCAAAGGGUUGGACUAAUACCUCCAAAAUACACUUAAACACAUAGACUGAUUUUAUUUGUCAUUUAGCCAACACAAAUACAAACAUUUAAGCUACAAAAUAUAUGAAUACACAUAAUAAAUUAAAUUUUAAAAAUUGGAUAAGAUUUUAAAUUUUUUAGGAGUUGUUUUAUUUUUAAUUGACUUGCCUCUAAUCAAAUUCAAAUUAAGGUCGAAUCUGUGUAUAAAUGUAUCAUCAUUAGCAUUAUGCCAUUGUCAAAGAAUGGAAGUCUACCUGAUUUCUCAAAUUUCUCCGUAUUUUUCUUUGAGGGAGACCUUCAGAAGUGAAGUCUCCCUAAACUAAGUUUGCUCUAGGUUGGUCCCUGUUAACGCAACCGCUGAAAUUUCUCUGUAAUCUUCAGAAAUUGAAGCCUCUGUGAUAUUGCAUAGAAGCAGGAAUAAAGGACAAUUGUAUUGUUAUAGAAUUUUAUGAUGACUAAUUUACUUUUCCUUGAUUUGUCCUCAAGGCACUGAAGAUUGAUAAGAAAACACCCCAAAUGAAUGCUUUAUUUGAUAAAUUUUUAUAUGGCAAAUUCAACUGUAAAAUGCCAUAAGAAGUCCCCUAUUUCAGUUUAGACUUCUGUUAUUACUGUGAAACGGAAAAAUGGGCAGCAAAAUGAAGCAGGGGCACAAACCAUUUGUCAUUUUUGUUCAUCUGCAAAAACUCAACCUUUAAAAAGGAAACAGAUUUAAACUAAAAAGAACAGAUUAAAACAAAUGUUUAAACUUUGCCAAUGAAUGAGCUUGAUGAAUAUCUGCUGAUGAGUACACAAAUAAAUCAUAAAGUAUGGGUUAUCGUCAUUGUAAAUUUU
rnacentral:sRNA from 1 species